rnacentral:rRNA from 1 species
GACGAACGCUGGCGGCGUGCUUAACAAAUGCAAGUCGAACGGAAAGGCCCUGCUUUUGUGGGGUGCUCGAGUGGCGAACGGGUGAGUAACACGUGAGUAACCUGCCCUGGACUUUGGGAUAACUUCAGGAAACUGGGGCUAAUACCGGAUAGGAGCUCCUGCUGCAUGGUGGGGGUUGGAAAGUUUCGGCGGUUGGGGAUGGACUCGCGGCUUAUCAGCUUGUUGGUGGGGUAGUGGCUUACCAAGGCUUUGACGGGUAGCCGGCCUGAGAGGGUGACCGGCCACAUUGGGACUGAGAUACGGCCCAGACUCCUACGGGAGGCAGCAGUGGGGAAUAUUGCACAAUGGGCGGAAGCCUGAUGCAGCAACGCCGCGUGCGGGAUGACGGCCUUCGGGUUGUAAACCGCUUUCGCCUGUGACGAAGCGUGAGUGACGGUAAUGGGUAAAGAAGCACCGGCUAACUACGUG